rnacentral:rRNA from 1 species
UACGUAGGGGGCUAGCGUUGUCCGGAUUUAUUGGGCGUAAAGAGCGUGUAGGCGGCCAGGUAGGUCUGCUGUGAAAACUCGAGGCUCAACCAUCGAGCUGUCGGCGGAAACUAUUUGGCUAGAGUCCGGAAGAGGAAAGCGGAAUUCCGUCGGUGUAGCGGUGAAAUGCGCAGAGUAUCAGGCAAGAACACCCGUGGCGAAGGGCGGGCUUUCCUGGGACGGUACUGACGCUGGAGACGCGAAAGCCGUGGG